rnacentral:rRNA from 1 species
UACGGAGGGUGCAAGCGUUGUCCGGAAUUAUUGGGUGUAAAGGGUGCGCAGGCGUCCCGGCAGGUUUUCGGUGAAAUCCUCCCGCUUAACGGGAGAAGGGCCGGAAAAACCGCUGGGAUUGAGUCCGGAAGAGGUUGGUGGAAUUCGUGGUGUAGCGGUGAAAUGCAUAGAGAUCACGAAGAACACCGGUGGCGAAGGCGGCCAACUGGUCCGGUACUGACGCUGAGGCACGAGAGCGUGGGGAGCGAACAGG